AGCAACAAUACCCACGUGCAUGGAUGUUGGAUGUUCCAAUACAUCGGGUAAUAAAACAUUAUUUUUUUCACCUUUACAAUUCAGGAUCCACCAUGGGUUCGUUGUUGGAUGCCAACUCGAAGAGAGAGGAUUUGCCAUCAAACUUCUGGCCAGAGAAAAGACACGUCAUCUGUGGCCAAUAUUUCGAAGAAGAAUGUUUUUAAGAUGACAUGAGAGCGAGAAUUUUCGGUAGGUUUUUCUUUUUUAUUUUCUAGAAUUUGCGGGGACAUUUGGUUACCCGACCAGAGGGGCGGAGUGAUAUGACAACCUCCAAAAUUGCUGAAGACUAGCAUAACAGACCGGUGCUCACUGUUUCGAAGCCCACUUAUUUUAUGCGACAUUGGUCUUCUUUUUUCUAAAGUCGCUUGCAAAUUUCAUGAGUUUUUUGGGCUUGUUUCUGAAAGUGAAGUUGAUUGUUUGAGCUCUAAAAUAAGUGACGCUGAAAUAUCCCUCCACAUCAUAACACACGGGAGCUCCUUCUGACAUAUGAGCAGAGUGAGUAAAGGCAGAAGGAGCAGCUCUGCCUGUAUUUUCUGCGGUUUACGGUUAAAAUAACUGAUAACUGCUGAAAAUAGAUUAGGCAGUGCAGAUCACCAUUUUGAGCAGUGAUUGGUUCUAAAGAUGAGUUUUUACUCCCUGAUAACAUUGCAUCGUGAGGUCACAAACAUGGACGUGGCAGUACGGUUCUUUACCAAGAUGCAUGCCUCCAGCAAAGCAUUUUCAAAUGAAAAAACGUAUAAUUUAUUGAAAAGUAUGUAAUACUUUUAUAUUUAAAGUACUUUCAGCAGUUUGAUUUCUGAUUAUGAUCGGACUUUUCCUUUAACAUGUAUUAAAAUGUUGUACUGGAUUGAACUCACUGGCAUUUUGUAAAAUUAGAUGCAGGUGCUGUUCUAUAAUCAUCAUCUUCAGUCACAUCUGAUGAUACUAUCAUUCUGAAUUUCAGCAUUGUUUAUGUGAUUUCUAGGUUUAGUGGUUCAAGAGUUUUUAAAAAAAAAAUCUUUGAAAUUGAAGUUGGUAGAAGAAAUCUUGACAAUAAAGCCUGGUGGUGAGCAUAUCAUGCAAGAGUACGCGAGAACUAAAUGCUUGACAGAUGCAACCAGAAGACAGAUGAUAAACAUCCUCACAGCUGCAAUGACAGAAGCACAUGGGUAAGAAUUAUACACUUAGUGUCAUGUUUUUGUGAGGAACCCGAACACAACCACACACAGAGUUCUGUUUUGUGAGUUUUAUUGAAGAUGAAGAAGACCAGAGUUCAGACCAGAUGGAAGCAGGAGGCUGUUAGUGGCUGAGGCUGGCAAGCGGGAUGGAGACAGAGCAUGGAGGCAGCAGGAGCAGCAACACAGCAGAGUGGAGACUUGGAACUAGAACUUGACAGCAGCACGGCAGAGUAGAGAUUUGGAACCAGAACUAGACCAGCAGAAUUAAGCAGCAUGACUUAAUGAAUACUUGCUGGACCGGAGUGAGAGCAGAACCAGAACCACAGCAGGCGGACGGACGGAGAUGAAGGGAACCCGGGCUGGUAAUGAAAAGAUCAUCCCCUCCUAAAAGCGUCAUGAUGUAUAGGAUCGUUGCCCUAUUUCCCUAUCUGGAGGACCCGUUUUCCAAACAUGGAUAUGAGCAUCAUUAUGAUCGAGAGAGCGGUUCAGGAUACUUUGCAUGGCAUUUAAAAACCAUUCAAAGAAAAACUGCAGAGCGAAGGGGUGCCUCAGGUAGCAAAUCUCCCAAAAGUGGUGGACCAGGCCAUGGUCAAUCCAGGGUUUUCACUGCUGACAAAGUGCUGUCAGAUGAGGAAGUGGAAGCAGCUAUUGCUGUUUUGGAACACUGCUGAUGAUGACACUGUCCAUGAGAAGAUGAAGGUUACCUUCCAUUGCCGUCAUUCAAUGGUCAAUGAUGAAAGGAAAGCAGCAAAUCUCUUCUGCCUUUCCAUGGUUUCUGGACACCCUUGGACUUAUAGAACAAGAUUUCAGACUCCUGUUUGGCGAAGGCACUGCUAAAAAUUUUUUGGAGAAGUGGCCCACCAGUCUCAAAUCCAAGGUUAUAAAGGAAAGCCAUGGCCUGGUACCCACCAAUGAGCUCUUGCGGAAUGCAGAGUUGGCUGCUGAAGCUGUGAAUGGUUGGGAUAGUGACAUGUCUGUUAUUUUGCUUCUGCUGCAUCUGCUACCACCAUCUGCACAAGGACGAAAGAAGCCGGGUAAGAUGUCUUCACCUCAAGCAGUGGAUCACCUCAUCAGAUUUCUAAAGGUUGGAACCAGUGUACAGCUGCAUCUUGACAAAAUUACGCAACAUACCCAGCCUUACCGCCUUGCCCAGGGAUCCAUCCAAAGCAGUAUUCACACAUUCUUCAUUGUGAUUGACAACUAUGCUAUUCCAUGUAAGGCAAUAUGUUCAGUUGGAGCUCUUGAUGAACUCUUUAAGGCCCAUUAUGUGUUUGGUACGUCAUACAGUGCUCCCUUGACCAACUUCUUCACCUUUCUCCAAACAACUGUUUACAACAUAGAUGUUGGAGAAACAAAGGAAACUCCCAGAAUUGCAGAGUUGAGAGCAAGAAUGCUCCAUUAGUUUGACAUCAAAAAAUGUGUUACAUCUGCAAAUGUGACAGUGACACACCAAACAGCCUUAUUAACCACCUUAAACUAGUCCAUGGCCUUUGUUCUGGCAGGACUCUCCAUAUUAAAUGUGGUCAAGUAGUUCACGUUCUUUUGGUAGCUUUUCUGGUUUUAGAAAGCAUCUAAAUAGAUGUCAUCUUAGUGGUUCAUUUGAAUCUGUAGAAGGUGGGGAGUUUUCACCUUACAAAAAUGUUCUGGGCACAAGAUAUGCUGAGAUGUUGAAAUGGUGACUGAAUCUUUAGAAGUUGACACAGAUUUAUGUUCAACAAACAUUGUAAAUAGUUGUGCAUCGGUAAUUUCAGAUAUGGAGGCUGCAGAUGUUUGCCAAAGUCUGGUGAAUUCUGUUGUGAUUUCCAUGGAAGAGAUUGUAAAAGACAUCCAACAUCACGCUAAAGAAACUGUAAUAAAGAAUGUAUUUAGCAGUGAAAGAGACACUGUAAUGUGCAAGAAACUUGAAGCAUGUUUUGAAGAACUUAGGGUUCUUAGACACUGUUACAGUAAUUAUGUCACUAGAUCAUAAAGUUAAAUAAAUGUUGUCUCUGAACUUAAAACUUUAUUAUUGUGAUUGGUAGAUUUUAUAAAAGCCAUAUAAUGCUAAAUUUUAGCAUUAUAUGGUACAUGUGUAAAAAAAAACUAGAGAAAGGGGGGAAAACAACACAAUAAAGUGUAAAUUUUUAAGUAAAUUUAGUGUAAAAUUAACUCCAUAAAAAUAACAGUAUUACUCUGAAUAGUGUAAACAAACAAUAGUGUUAAAUGAUUUGACUCACUGACUUGUUGAUUUUUAUACAUAAAUUAGUAAAAUUAACUCUGAAAAUUUACACUAUUUUUGAGUGGAACCAAAUAUUAUCUGAAACAGAGUUAAAUUCAACUCUAUAGGUGUUAAAGUGACACUUUUUUACUGUGUAGUUUUUAACACUACUGACCUUUGUUUUUUACUGUGUAGUUUUUAACACUACUGACCUUGUGUGGGUGGUCUGCACAGCAAAGCAUUUUUCUGAGAGAGUCAGCAUUGUUUGAUAGACAGUUAAAUGGCCUAUUGUGUAUUUAAAAUGCUGUAAAACCGAAAGUAUUUGUGGAAAAAAAAUAGGGACUUGUUUUAUAAACAUUAAAGUCUCCUCCUUGGAGAUAUUUAGGAAAGAAAAAAUCUGACCUACUUUUAAAGCUUGAUAAAAUAGAUGUGGCUUUAAAGAGUUUCAGUCAGGCUAUAGAGCUCGUUAUAGCACUAAAACAGAUCUGGUGAAGGUCAGUAAAGGUAUUUUCAUGGCCUCAGAUAAUGGACUUGUGUCAAUACAUCAAAACCUGGAUGACUUUAAAUUUCCUGCUUUU